UGGGAUGUAGCCAAGUGGUAAGGCAGCGGAUUUUGAUUCCGCCAUUCCUAGGUUCGAACCCUAGCAUCCCAGCCA
rnacentral:tRNA from 1 species